GAGCUCUUCAGCGGGGCUCUGCGCAUUGAACCAACAUGCUCACUUUGAGAGGGGGCGUGCUUGUCAUUAGUGAUGACAAAACACACCCUCUCUGGCCCCGCCCCCUUCUUGGGGGGCCGCUCUAAUUGAAAAAUGCCCGGGCCUAAUUUUUUUCCCAGUCCGGCCCUGUCCCCUACUCUCUCCCAGAGCCGGCAAAGAGGAAAGAGCAAAGGGACCUACAGACUGUUACUAAUUUCCCACUAGGCAAUGUGCUAACCAUACCUGUGAAUCAUAAUAUCCUGACUUAUAGCCUGCAUUUCAAUAACUGUUUAGUCUACAAACUUAACAUAUUCACUGUCGUUACUCUUGCCUAGACAGCUCACUAUUGCUUAGCUAAGAUUCCUACCACUGUCUAUGAUAACGUAUCUGUGUUUGUGGAGUUUAACUACCUUGCUCUUGGUUUAUUUCUUUUGCUUUAUUCUGAAAAAAAAAUGUCAUACACUGAAGUUGAUGUACCAUUGCAUUCGUAUAUGUCAUGUGCCUACUUUCUAACACUUAUUUCUCUUCUGUAACGUACCAUUAUUGCCUCAAUAAAAGAAAG